rnacentral:rRNA from 1 species
CCCUAUUAUUAUGGAAUGUUAAUUUUUGUGCCUGAGUAGUAUUAGUUAUGUUCUUGAAACUUAAAGAAUUUGGCGGUAUCUCAUUCCGUCCAGAGGAAUCUGUCCCGUUAUCGAUAGUCCACGUUGGACCUUACUUAUUUGAUUUUGGUUUGUAUACCGCCGUUUAUUGAUUAUCUUUUUAGAGGUUACAUUAAUUUUCUGGUUUCUUUAUUUUGAUGUAUUUCAGGUCAAGGUGCAGCUUGUUUUUAAGUGGAAUGAUGGAUUACAUUGUUAUUUGUUUGUGGAUUGUUGAUUUUAAUAUUGGCAUGAAAUUGGAUUUGGUUGUAAUAAUUUGUAGAUUGUUAUUAUGAUAAUUGGUUCUGAGAUAUGCACACAUCGCCCGUCGCUCUCGUUUGUUUAUUAUGAUGAGAUAAGUC